UUACACCCAGUUAUAUAAACAAUCUAAAAACCCAAAUCCCUCUCCUUUUUUCUUUCUGAAACCCUAGAUAUCACAGCGUGUAUACUACUCUUUUCUAACGACAACCGUUGCUUGAAUCAUUGACGAUCUAGAGGAUACGAUCAUCAGAAGAUAUUGUUUAGAGAGCCGUUCAAAAACAAAAAUUAGGGUUUGUAGAGAAGAUAUGAUUCGGGAUUCUUCUUCACACCACGUUAGAAAACCAUAUAACAGUUCCCACAUGGUUUUGUGUUAACUGUACGCUGGUGAACCUUGAUGGUGCUAUCUAUUGCCAUAUAUGUGGAGAGCAUAAAGAAUCUGGAAUCGUUAGGCAUGGCUUUCUUGCAUCGUCUUUACAUGAGGCAGAUUCGAUUACGAAUAAAUCGUUGGAAUGCAACGGGAAAUCAUAAGGUCAAUGACAAUUGAGCUCCAUUAAUGCAAAAUAAUUACAAUCAAUUCACCCAUACCGUAGUUUGAUACCAUUGCUGCCAGGAUUCAUCAUCAGAUUGUGAAGAAACCCCAUUGCCACCGACCAAAACAAGCAAAUAUUUAGCCCAAUGCUGCCACAGUUACUGUAUUAGCAAAUCUUUGCAGCUACCAUCCUAUGAGGUCAAGUUCUUUGAGCUCACUCUUGACAACUUCGGAAUGCUUCAGUGUACGGAAUGGGAACCCAAUGGUUCAUUCAACAAAUUAAGUGGAACCACUUCUGCCAGUGGUCAAGGUGUUAAUUAUUCUCAGGAGAGAUUUCUGAUUCUACAUUGCCACCUAACCCACGUAAAGUUGUCUUGUAUCGUUCACCCAUCACUCACGUUUUGGCGGUUGUGAAGUUGUAAGGCAUGUGACUUUGUUUUGUGCUCUCGAUGAAAGGUUCUGGCCACUGUGUUUGAUGAGCUCUCUCUUGAUGGAGUUCUUUUACUCUACUUAUCUGCUCCAGUUAUUGCAAGCUCCACAUGAUGAUGCUGAACUGAUAAUACGUGAACGUUUCCUGUCCCAAGAUUAGUGGUGUGCGAUCAACAUAGUUCUCAGGUAUAUGUUUUAUCACAGACUACGCACAAGUCAAAUGGGUCGAAUUGGUUGAAAUCGAGUUGAAACAUAAAAGUCCUAAGGAAGCAGCACGGAUGGGAAGGAAAAUACAAAGUGAGCACCCUGAUAUUGUAAGUGCUGAUUGGGAAACUGUUAAGACACAGGUGAUGUAUAAAGUAGUGAAAUGCAAGUUCUCAAUUUACACACAUUGAAUUCAAUGCCUUAUUAAUAGCGGGCUGUGUACUGGUUGAAGAUUCUCCUCAUGAUCUCCUUUGGGGUGGGGUCCCGACGGUGAAGGUUUCAAUUUGUAAAUCUAACUUUCAAGCCAACGCGUUGCUAGUUAUUUCACACCUGAUACUUAUGCAAACAAAGAUCCAGCACUCGCCACAAGGCUGGCAGCGGGAUUAUGUGCUGAUCUUGCUUCUGCCAUAUAUUCCGUGCGCGCUAAAAGUGGAUUUGCUCUGGUGCGUCCUCCAGGUCAUCAUGCUGGCGUAAAACAUGCGAUGGGAUUCUGCCUUCACAAAAAAGUUAAUUCUUGAUUAGGAUGUACACCAUGGAAAUGGCACUCAAGAAAUAUACAAGCAGAACAAAACGGUUUUGUAUGUAUCUUUACAUAGACAUGAAGGUGGAAAAUUUUAUCCUGGUACUGGUGCAGUCCAUGAGUUUGGUUCCAUGGUUGGAGAAGGGUACUAUGUAAACAUUCCAUGGAGUCGGGGCGGAGUCAGAGAUAACGAUUAUAUUUUUGCAUUUGAGCAUAUCGUGCUUCCAAUAGCUCGUGAGUUUGCUCAUGAUUUUACAAUCAUUUCAGCUGGAUUUGAUGCUGCAAGGGGUGAUCCACUUGGAUGCUGUGAUGACCAUCUUCACGAAUAUGGUAUUAAUCCACAUGACCACCUUCCUUGACAUGAAAUCGACCUUGUCUACGGAUAGUUUUAACCGAUCAUCUAUCGGAGAAACCGUCUAUCGGAGAAACCGUUGUUCAUCCAUUGUUGACCUCUCUAAUGCAAUCUGCUCAGGCAACAAACAACCAUAAACGCUUUUCCCAUUCUGAGGUUCCAUUAUGGUGAUCUCGGUUUUAGAGUCCACUUCUCCAUUCACCGUGUCACUACCAAUCUCAGCCACCACCGUCGAAGAGUUUUAUAGAAACUGGAAUUAAUCACUUGCUUUUAGUAAUGUGGCCCAUUGGUUACUCAAGCUUUUAGAAAGAAAUUUCAAAUGUAAUCAGCCUUGAGGGUUUCCAUGGAGACCUCUUUAAAGUCGCAGAUUACAGAUGUAGGGAGGCUGAUGAAAAUCAAAGAGUGGUUUGAUAGAUAUAAAAUAAGUUGACUGGGAGUUUGAGGAAGAUAAUGAUGAAAUGCUUUUAGUUUUGGGGAACAACUAGAAAGGAAGGAGAUGAAAGCUUCUUCAGAAUCUUUAGCGACUCAGGACUCUUCGGCUAUCGGUUAAUCGUUGUUUCGGUACCGCCAGAAUGCUAUAAACUCACUUUUGGUCGUGCGGAGGGAAACAAGCUUUCAGGAAUUACAAUCUGAGAGGACACAAGAGCAUAACUCAAAUUAUGAAAUAUAUGUGAGAAUUCAACUAUGGGUAGAAUCAAAUGAAUUCUGCCCAGAUGGCGAUAUCCCCAUUAGAAGAACUACCAAAAAAAUAUUUUACACACGAAUUCACUAAAAAGAUCAGAUGUAUAUGGCGUGAUAAUGGUGGUCGUGAGAUCUGGACAAACAACACCUGUCUUUGCAUACUGUGUAAUGACACAUGGCACCAUGGAAGAAAAAGAUUUAUAAGCGUCAGGUAUAUCCUAUCUAUGUAGAGUUUUCAAUAUCGACCCAUUCACAUAUGCAUAUUGAAUCGGUUAUUUCAGGUUAUGUUGUAUCGUUUACGGGUCAAAUAUGCAAAUAAAAAACAAUUAGCUUAAGGGGAGAAAUUUGCUUGAAGUGUAUUUCAAAUACAUCAAACAACCUAUUCAUGUUAAUGAAAAUCUAGAUAUUGAAUAUGACGAUUACAAAUAUAUCCAUUUAAACAAGUAUCCUUUUAAGUUUUGAUGCUCGGAGUUUUAAUAAAAUAAGAAUAUGGGUCAUGACAGGUAACCUUUUGGUACACGGUUGACAUGAAAAUUUUUUUGUCCACAUUUCUAUAUUAAUUUUCACUAUUACUUUGUUUAUAAUAUUACUCUUUUGACUUUGCGAAGUCUAAUUCUUCUCUUUUUUUUAGAAAGGCAAAAUAUGAGGGUUUUCGAAGUCUAUAUGUAUGCAUA